rnacentral:lncRNA from 1 species
AGAGAUGGAGCCGGCGCCACCUGACUAGGGAGGACUAGUUUAGAUCUCCAGAUUCGGUACAGUGGGAAUACCUGAGGGAAGAGUUUCAGAGUUAUUUGAGGAGCAGGGACGCCCACGGGUUCCAACCAAUGCCCUCCUUACUUGUUUUGUGUUUCGUUUUAGUUAUUAGCGAUGCGGUUGGAUGAGACUUUGUUGUUUCAUAUGAAAGAAUUUGCUUUGAGGGAGCCGGGAGCAGCACUACAAUCCGCAGGGUUGUUUAUUUUAAAUAGGGCUCUGCACGGUGUUAUUUAUGACACCGUGAUGUUGACACUUCGAGUUCUUUUAAAGUUAUAUUUUUAUUUGCAUUCCUGUGUGAGGGAAGGGAGGGGGAGAGGAUGGGAGGAGCUUCCUGUGUGCAAGCCUGCAGGUGCGCCAGUGCUCAGCAGAGGGCACUGAAUGCUGCGGCACUCGGGUUAACAGAUGGUAGUGAGCUGUCUGAACUACUUAAAAUUUUCAGGUAAAAGGGCAGCAAGCAUUCUUAAACUGCUGAGCGGCCCUCUAGGUGUUCUUUGCUGGGGCAGGGGAGUUAGCAGGGAGGAAGUGGAGAGAACUGGGAGAGUUGAGACCCUCCUUCUGAGCGUUAAGCUGCAUGUAGAUAAUAUCUGCAGGUGUGGCACAAUUGAAAAGGCAGUGGCUUUCAGGCUAGUCACUGCACGGACUAGUAAGGCAGCUCUCUUGCUCCCAGCACCGUGCAUCUGAUUCUCCGUUCUCAGGAUCACUCAGAAGAGGAUCAGCUGCUGAUCAUACGUCUGACUCAGCUAUAUCUCAUUGCUAUGGCUCUUGGCCACAAGAUAUCUGACUCUGUGUCACCAGCCUAACAGAAGAUCACAUUGUGCUGCCAAAGCACAGAACACACCCAGCUUCUUGGAUUUCAUCUGUCUUGCAUUUCCUUAUGUAUCAGUUACAGGAAAAGCAGCAACUGAAAUACAGCUCUCAAAUGCUCUGGAUGGUAAAUAAAACAAGGCAUAUGCUAUAAUACCCUCUGAGAGAAAUGCCCUUGCCCUGGUGUGUGUGUAAGGUCCUACAAGUAUGUAGAAUAUGUCGUUUACCUAGCUUCCAUUUACUAAGAAUUAGUUGGCUGGCCUAUAUUUUGAAGGGAGUGACAUUUUCUUGGCCAGGCCUUUCUGGCUCAUUCCUCUCAUAAACAAGCAAAAGGAUCUGCUUGUCCAGAAUGAGAAAAGUCUUUCUGGAUAGUUGUCACUCUUGUGCCUAGGAGACGACUGUCGAGCUUCUAUGACCACCUCCUCCUGUCAACUCAGUCUUUGAAGCAAUGCAGAGACUAUGCUGUGAAGAAAGAACAGUAACUCACAGCACCGAUACUAAGGGAUACCACUACCCUUGGAUUUGGCUUCCAUCUGAUGGAAAAGAGCUUCAGCCUAUAGCUAAUAACUGGGAUCAUUUGAAUAGCAAAGAAUUUAACACUAGAGAAAAUAUAUUAAGACACUUAAUAUAAGACAAAUUAUGACUACCACAGGAAGGAGCAUCCUGGGACUAGUCCACCAAACAGACCAUGUCUCUCCAAAUAUAUGCAUGUGUGUUAUGCUGCCACAAUGACUAGGUGAGGGGUGUUAGAUGACGUGUAGCCACUGGCAAAGGUCUCUUUUGUCUUUAUCUCUCCAAUUAUAUGCAUGUGUGUUGUGCUGCCACAGUGACUAUGCCUUCUAAAGCAUAAAGACUAAAGGUGAGCAGUGAUUUAGAAGAUGCUGUAGCUACUGGCAAAGGUCUCUUUGUUUUUCCCCACCAUGUACGCAAGGCUAGCUAGCCUGUAGGCUUUGAAGAUUUUCCUGUCUGCCUUCCCUCUCUCCAUAGGAGUACUGAGAUUUCACAUGUAUGCUACAGAGGUUGGCUUUACUUAAGUUUGGGGGAUUUGAGCUCAGAACUUCAUAUUCACAGGAUAAGCACUCUACCCACUAAGUCAUCUCCCUAUCCCUUUGUUCUAGUUCCAUUGAAUAUUGGGAACUCUUCCAAUUCCUCCCUGGUUUCAUCAACAGCCCAUUGUUCAAAACAGUGUUGUGUUGUUCUAUCUCAGAAGUAUGUGUGUGUGUUUCUGAGGCCAGUCUAGCUAUUGACCUCUAGUUUCAUCCCACUGUCGCCUAGAAAUACUUGAGGACUUAUUUUGUUGUUUUUCAAUUUAUUAAGGUUUGCUUCACGGCCAAUGGCAUGGUCAGUUUUAAUGGAAGGUCUAUGGGUCAUUGUGAAAACUAUUUUCUUUCUGUUCUGUGGAACAUUCUAUACACUUCUAUGAAAUCCAAUGGAUUUACUGUUUAAUUCAACUAUAAGUUUUCUCUGCUGGUUUUUUAAUUUGGGAGAUCUAUCUCAAUGUGAGAUGGGGUACUGAGCCUCCAUCCUUAUUAUGCCAGGGCCUGGGUGGCCUUUUAUGCACUUUAGUGUUUACUAUGUCCUAUUUAUUAAUAUUCCCUUUCAUGAGUGUGCAGGGGCCCCUAUACUUCUUCCAACCUGUUCAGGUUGCAAGUCUAUUUUAAGAGGUAUAAGAAUCACUGUGGAAGCUUUUCUGCAGCUUCCACUUGCUUGGUAUUUCCUCCUCCAACCUUCCAUCUAGAACUUGCUCAAAGUCCUUGGGGAUCAAUUCCUGCUCUGCCUGGGUUCAACCUCACAUCUUAGUGAACUGCUUCUGAGUACACUGGGUGCUUGCCCUUUCGGGCCACCUUCUUCCAAUGCCUUGAUGGUAGGACUAGUCAAUCCACCUGAGGAGCCAAGCAGAAAUGUCGAGCUCCUCCUAACCUCCUAGUUCCUCUUCCUUGUUCCUUCUGCCUGAUAUGAAGGGAGGGUAGAGUAGUGUUUGCCAGGUAGAAUCAGCUUCUCUCUCUCUCUCUCUCUCUCUCUCUCUCUCUCUCUCUCUCUCCUUUGUAGCUGUUACUUGUUUUUUUCCCCCAAUCCAGACCCAAAACCUUUCCUCUAUAUCUCUUCUGACUUUUCUUAUUUUGACUCUCAUCUUUAUUGGCUCACACUUGAGGCAGCCUCUAGUCUAUGAUCUUUGAAUGAAGCCCUCUCUAAAUAUUAAGUUCAAAAUGUCAGGAAAUGAUAAACCCAUGUGGGGUAAUAAAAGAAUAUGCACAGAAAUGGGAAUUGCCUAUGUGCGGAUUAUCUUGAGUGUUGCUGACUACGGCUUGUUAGAGACACUGGAAAGCUUGCAUUAAUAUCACUUCUGAAUGUACAAAGGUUUUGGUUGUUAUGUAUGUUUGGUCUGAUAGUUGAGGAAGUUUUCAUAAUACCCUGCCUCCUUUGCUUCCUAUCUACACUAUAGAACAUAUCUUCAUCCAUGAAGAUCUCUCUUGGUGCUUCUAGGGUAUGUUCAACAAGAAAGGCAUUGUCUGCCAGAAAAACUAGCUAUAUUUGAUCUAUCUGAUAAAAUAAUUAAAUAAAUAAAAAUUCUGGAACAUGCUGAAAUAACUGGAAGAUCAUGACAUACACUAGAGACUGCAGGAGGUUAUGAUAAUAACCUCCCUAAUAGUUUUAAGGAUUUGUUCUGGUCACAUGCAUUUAAUAAGGAAGUAAUAUAAAAUGUUUGUCCCUAGCCUAGAGGACAGCCAGAUGGACAUUAGCCAAAUGUAAAUAGACUUUCUUCCUUCUUUAUAUUUGUGUUGCAAAGUUCAAAUGUGAUAAAGAAUAAUCAUUCUAUUUUAGUUGGCCAUUCAAGCAAAUGGCAGUUUGAGUAAUGUUUAACCCAGUGAUCAUAACAGAAUUUACCCUUAGCUUCAUCUUUUCCUGUAAUCUAAGACAAUGGUGCUCGAUUUCUAGUUAUCAUAAGGAAAGCAAUAGCAGUUUUAAAGUCUUUUUCCUUCAAUGGGAAUAAUCUAAGUACUUUAUAUUUCCAUAAUUAUUUAAUCCAAAUACAGUGUUGAUUUUCUCUA